rnacentral:rRNA from 1 species
AUUGAACGCUGGCGGCAGGCCUAACACAUGCAAGUCGAGCGGGGUUUUCGGACCUAGCGGCGGACGGGUGAGUAAUGCGUAGGAAGCUACCCGAUAGAGGGGGAUACCAGUUGGAAACGACUGUUAAUACCGCAUAAUGUCUACGGACCAAAGUGUGGGACCUUCGGGCCACAUGCUAUCGGAUGCGCCUACGUGGGAUUAGCUAGUUGGUGGGGUAAUGGCUCACCAAGGCGACGAUCCCUAGCUGGUUUGAGAGGAUGAUCAGCCACACUGGAACUGAGACACGGUCCAGAGUCCUACGGGAGGCAGCAGUGGGGAAUAUUGGACAAUGGGCGCAAGCCUGAUCCAGCCAUGCAGCGUGUGUGAAGAAGGCCUUCGGGUUGUAAAGUACUUUCAGUAGGGAGGAAGGGUGUUGUGUUAAUAGCACAGCAUUUUGACGUUACCUACAGAAGAAGCACCGGCUAACUCUGUGCCAGCCGCCGCCGUAACAU